rnacentral:rRNA from 1 species
UACAGAGGGGGCGAGCGUUGUUCGGAAUUACUGGGCGUAAAGGGCGCGUAGGCGGCCCGCUAAGUCGAACGUGAAAUCCCCAGGCUCAACCUGGGAACUGCGUCCGAUACUGGCAGGCUUGAAUCCGGGAGAGGGAUGUGGAAUUCCAGGUGUAGCGGUGAAAUGCGUAGAUAUCUGGAGGAACACCGGUGGCGAAGGCGGCAUCCUGGACCGGUAUUGACGCUGAGGCGCGAAAGCUAGGGGAGCAAACGGA